GCUAAUGUAACGGUGUCUUGUAUAAGAUUUGAGAAAUUCGGGCUAAUGCAACGGUAGUUGUCAGCCGUUGCAAUAGAUGGUCAAAUGCGACGGUAUAUUAGGCUAGUGCGACGGUAUAUUAGGCUAAUGUAACGGGUAUGCUAUUUUACUUUUUUUUCCCUCCUAUUUUACUUUUUUCCCCAAAAUCUUAAAGCCUGGCCACACACUUAAUUUACGGUAAAAAAAAAUAAAAAAAAUUAAAACACACAAGCAAACAUUGCCAAAAGAAAAUCUCCAAUUUUCUAGGAGAAAGACUUGAGAGAAAAUAGGAUCGAGUUUUAGGGUUUCAUCAAAAUUUUGGCAAAUUCUAACUAUUUGGUCUGGAAUUCGCAAUUAGGUUCGAGAUUAAUCGAAUUUCUUGGGCUGCGACAUUCUCUCACGCCGCUUGAUUGCUGUUCAUCGAGCAGGAGGGUUGAAUUGGGCUUCGCAUAAUAGUCCGAACAAGUUAUUCACGGAGCAUGGUGAGCUAAAUGGAGAAGAAAUGUAGAUCUAGCAACCUAGCUAAAGGUGGAGGCUCUUAUUGGUUUUGGGUCGUUUUGUAAUUCCUAGUAACGUUGAAUUUGUUUCUAUGGAUUUUAAUUUUAUGUACUUUUGUCAUUAAAAACACAAAAUUAACUAGUGAACAACUAUUUUGUAAUGCAUGUGUCCUAUGGGCACUAAUAUUGUAAUAUUACUUUUCAAGUCAAUGAAAAUCUUUUAUUAUAUAUGAA